CAUUAGAUGACUGAAAGUAAGUAUUGGUCUCUUAAACCAUUUUAUAGUAAAUUAACAACUACUUCUAAUGAUUA
rnacentral:tRNA from 1 species